UGUUUUACGCAUAGUUAAUCACCUCACUACAUUUUACUGUUCCUAAAGAAUUUACAACAGGUACAGUAAAACGUAUUGUAAGGUUUAUCAGUUCCUAUGAACAGGUGAAUAAUAAAUAUAUAUGCUGCUUGGCGGUAAUAAAAAAAACCGUUGUCAGCAGUAAUGCUUUUAUAUGCCCUUUUCGAUAAAACGACGGUUUAUACAGCCGCCGUUUUAUUUUUUCC
rnacentral:ncRNA from 1 species